rnacentral:tRNA from 1 species
CGCUAUAGCUCAGCUGGCUAGAGCAGCUGAUUUGUAAUCAGCAGGUCGUGGGUUCGAGUCCCUCUAUCGG